rnacentral:rRNA from 1 species
GUCGACCCCAGAUCGAGC